AACGCACAUUGCGCCCCCUGGUAUUCCGGGGGGCAUGCCUGUUCGAGCGUCAUUUAUACCAAUCUAGCCUGGCUAGGUGUUGGGCUUCGCCGUCUGGCGGGCCUUAAAACUAGUGGCGGUGCUCUUAGGCUCUACGCGUAGUAAUUUUCUCGCUAUAGGGUCCUGGGAGAUGCUGGCCAGCAACCCCAAAUUUUUCUAGGUUGACCUCGGAUCAGGUAGGGAUACCCGCUGAACUUAA
rnacentral:misc_RNA from 2 species